rnacentral:misc_RNA from 1 species
UUUUCAAACAAAAAUUCAAACCUACGUGAAAGCAGUAAAGCCUAAUAAUCAUGGAGUUCAAAAAUGUACGGAUUGAUGGUAAUUGGAAUUUGGAUCACAAUGAUACAUGGAACAAAACUAGGAAAACAAAACACGGGAUAGUAUGGAAUGCUGUGAUGAGAUGGUUGACUUAUUUUAGAGUAUGCACUAAAAACUUGUAAAACAACAUAUGCCACUUUCACAAUGUCAUAUAGAAUCUUCAAAAUAAAGAACAUUGCUAUUUCCACCGCUUUAUUCAAUUGGCCUAUUAAUGUACAAUUCGACAUUAAACAUCGCGCAUUUCAAUAAAUGGUAG